rnacentral:rRNA from 1 species
CCUACGGGAGGCAGCAGUGAGGAAUUUUCUGCAAUGGGCGAAAGCCUGACAGAGCAAUACCGCGUGAGGGAUGAAGGCCUACGGGUUGUAAACCUCUUUUCUCAAGGGGGAAGAUCUGACGUUACUUGAGGAAUAAGCAUCGGCUAACCCUGUGCCAGCAGCCGCGGUAAUACAGGGGAUGCAAGUGUUAUCCGGAAUUAUUGGGCGUAAAGCGUCUGCAGGUUGAUAUUUAAGUCUUUUGUUAAACCUCCGGGCUCAACCCGGAAUCUGCAAAGGAAACUAUAUGUCUUGAGUAUGGUAGGGGUAAAGGGAAUUUCCAGUGGAGCGGUGAAAUGCGUAGAUAUUGGAAAGAACACCAACAGCGAAGGCACUUUACUGGGCCAGUACUGGCACUCAGAGACGAAAGCUAGGGGAGCAAACAGGAUUAGAUACCCUGGUAGUCCUAGCUGUAAACGAUGGAUACUAGAUGUUGUGUACCUUUGGGUAUGUNAGUGUGUGUCUACGUACGUAGUAUCCGUCCGUCGGUAGGUAGUGUCGUCGCGAGAGUAGAACGUACGAAUAGUAAGUUAGUACGGUUCGUUGUAGACGUUGCCGACGGACGACGACGAGGGAGGAGG